ensembl:misc_RNA Metazoa_SRP Metazoan signal recognition particle RNA
GUCGGGCAUGGUGGCUCAUGCCUGUAAUCCCAGCACUUUGGGAGGCCGAGGCAGGCGGAUCACCUGAGGUCAGGAGUUCAAGACCAGCCUGACCAACAUGGUGAAACCCUGUCUCUA